rnacentral:lncRNA from 1 species
UUACCUGGCAUUAGUGGCGGCGGCUACAAGUUUUCUCCACUGCUGCAGCUCAUCUCCAAGUCCUACAGCCUGGAUCAUCUCUGUCACCAGCGCCUACAGCCUGUGUCUGAAGUCUGAACCUCUCUUCUGUACUCCAUGUUUACUGAAUUUCACUGAAUUUACUGAAUGUGCAUGUGAAUCUCAAAAGUAUCCAUAGUGUGUGUUUGUUCAAGUGUAGGAGUGGAAAUGGGCACCCUUUAGGGUAUUCUUUGACCCUCUUUAGUUCAACUAAAUGAACUGAAUUUUCAGAAGUCACAUAACUUUUAAAAAUUUAGUUUAUUUGGAUAAACUAAGGAGGUUGAGAGGGUACUCUGAGCGGCAUAAAGUUGCAUCCCUACUCAAGUGACUAUUCUGGUUGUACUUCUCUUGGGGAGUGCCUGUAGAGCUUAUUAUUCAUGCCUAUUUAUGGUCAAAUUAGAAAUAUAUUCCAAUGUGUCUUUAUGUUUGGCAUCCACCAUUCACUGGCAUCUGCCAUUCUGGUUCAAGAUAUACUUACAUCGCUUCAUUCAAAUUUGACGCCCAGCUUGUAGUUUUGAAAUGUUUCCUUCACCUAGAUUUGACGCCUAGCUGGUAUCUUUGAAACGUUUCAUUUUGCUUGAUGAAUCAUUAGUUGUGCUUCUAAUAAUGUUUUUUGCCAGUACCUUAACUUUGGAGCUGGCUAUUUACUAUUUUCAGUGUACUAACCAAUCCUCUUUUCAGGGUGUCAAUUUGGAGCUAGCUAUUUACUGUCAGUGCAUUCAACAACCUGACCUCCACGGCUCCACGCACGGUUGAUUGGCUGAGCUCUGAGCUAGCAUGACCAUGGAGGCGGCUCUCGUCAGCGUGGCGACGAGGGUCCUCAAACCUGUCAUAGAGAAGCUGAUCGUUCAGCUUGGCAAUGAGUACUAGCAUCUGCACCCUCCCCUCCCCUCAUCUGAUGUUUCCUUACCAUCCCUGAGUCCAUCUCUUACAAUUUGUAUGAUUGCGCCAUUUUGCUGUUAUACUGGGUAGUAGCUAUUGUCCUGCUCAUGCUCCUGUUUGGUUGGGGGUGUUGAUGAAAUGCUAGGGUUAAUUAAAGGGUUCUUGGUUAGCACUCCUUUGAAGUUUAGUUGAUUUUCUCACUGUCUAUCAUCAUGGCUUAAGUUUGGUUGUUGUUCUGAAAUUUACACGGCUUAGGUUUUAAUCAAUUGGCAUGUUCAUGUUAGUUGUUAUGGAGUAAAUAUGAUAAGAACAGUGGCAAUUGAGCAACACCACUACUAGUAUAACUCAGCUUUAUUUACUAAUCAGUAGGUAUCUAGUACUAGUAGAUUCAGAAUAUGCAGUCCUAAAAAUUAAAGGGAACAACAG